GUUAUUUAAUACGUUUCUAAGAGUCGAGUUGUUUGGGAAUGCAGCUCUAAAUGGGUGGUAAAUUUCACCUAAUGCUAAAUAUAAGCGAGAGACCGAUAGCGAACAAGUACAGUGAUGGAAAGAUGAAAAGAACUUUGAAAAGAGAGUUAAAUAGUACGUGAAAUUGUUGAAAGGGAAACGAUUGAAGUCAGUCAUGCCGGUGGGAAUCAACUUAGAGGAAACUCUGAGUGCACUUCUUCGCUUGGCAGGUCAACGUCGAUUUUGGAUGUCAUAAAAUGAUUGGGGGAAGGUAGCUCCUUCGGGAGUGUUAUAGCCCUUGGUAGAUGUGAUGUCUGGGAUCGAGGAUUGCAAUGGAUACCCUUUGGGGCUAGCCGCCUGAUCUCUAAUUGGUAUUGGGUUACGGAUAGCAUGCUGACCGUGAUGCUAAUUAUUGGUUAAAAGG
rnacentral:rRNA from 1 species